rnacentral:lncRNA from 1 species
CUCACAGCCAUGAGGAGUGGCUAAGUAAACAUCUGCUCUCGGCAGGGCCCUCUGAGAUCAGGCACAGCCAUCAACAGUGGCUGCAUGCCUCUCAUGCUUCUGAGUUACGUUUGUCCUGCUUCUGAGAAGAUCAGCCACUUCAGAAUGAACCAAUUAAUACAAUCGCUAGGUGCCCUCCUGUAGUACCUCUGUGAGGUUUGAAGGACUUGCCCUGAUGAACCUCCACUUCCCUGUAAUUCCCUAUAAGAUCUGCAGCACAAAGCUGUGAAGGUGCUGGUCAGGGGUGGAAUGCAACUGAUGCUGUCACCAGACUCUAAUCCCAAUAUCUCCCAGAUAUUCCACAGAUACCACAUUCUAACCAGAAUAAUCUGCAUCAUCUAAAGGGUUUAUGAUAUGUGGCUGUGGGACUGGACCAAUAUGAGCCCACAGAAGCCUGCAUACUUGGAACCACUUGGUGGGAUCAAUGUCAUUAGGAGACACAACUAUAAAUGCUGUCAUUCAACCCAGCUUGAAUGAAUAACAAAGAACAUGCUCCAGGAGGAUAAAGAACAGAGCAUCUCCUUGGUUUGUGCAGGCUUCCCACUGCAGCUGCCAUGCAGCAGAAACUGAAUGAUUCCAUAAAGUCAAGAAAUAACCAUGAUGGCUCUUCGUAAGCGAUCACUGGAGGUCCAGGGCAGUGUUCCCGGCCUGCCUCACAUAGGACGGUGAGGGGCUUCCACAUUAAGGACUCAGAAAUUUCUAACACUUUACAAGAGGGAGGAGUGAACAGCAAGUGGUUUGGAAAUCACAAAUUUGUAGGAGCUCAGCAAGUGCUACUUAGGUCUAAGGGACACAGGGCAGGUUUGGAUUAAGAAAUGACACCAGUUUGGGGCCGGGCGCAGUGGCUCACGCCUGUAAUCCCAGCACUUUGGGAGGCCGAGGCAGGCGGAUCAUGAGGUCAGGAGAUCGAGACCAUCCUGGCUAACAUGGUGAAACCCCAUCUCUACUAAAAAUACAAAAACAAAGUUAGCCAGGCAUGGUGGCAGGCACCUGUAUUCCCAGCUACUCUCAAG